rnacentral:rRNA from 1 species
UGAGGAAUUAUUUGCGCAAUGGGGGAAACCCUUGACGCAGCAACGCCGCGUGGGUGAAGAAGGCCUUCGGGUCGUAAAGCCCUUCUCGGACGGGACGAAAGUUCCGCGGGGAUAAUCCGCGGAGCCUGACGGUACCGUAGGAAGAAGCACCGGCUAACUCCGUGCCAGCAGCCGCGGUAAUACGGAGGGUGCAAGCGUUGUUCGGAAUUACUGGGCGUAAAGCGCGUGUAGGCGGCCUUGUAAGUCAGAUGUGAAAGCCCUCGGCUCAACCGGGGAAGUGCAUCUGAAACGGCAAGGCUUGAGUACGGGAGAGGGAGGCGGAAUUCCCAGUGUAGAGGUGAAAUUCGUAGAUAUUGGGAGGAACACCGGUGGCGAAAGCGGCCUCCUGGACCGAUACUGACGCUGAGACGCGAAAGCGUGGGGAGCAAACAGGAUUAGAUACCCUGGUAGUCCACGCGGUAAACGAUGGGCACUAGGUGUGGGGGGUAUCCACUCCUCCCGUGCCGCAGCUAACGCAUUAAGUGCCCCGCCUGGGGAGUACGGCCGCAAGGCUA